AUUGAACGCUGGCGGCAUGCUUUACACAUGCAAGUCGAACGGCAGCGCGGGCUUCGGCCUGGCGGCGAGUGGCGAACGGGUGAGUAAUACAUCGGAACGUGCCCAGUAGUGGGGGAUAGCUCGGCGAAAGCCGGAUUAAUACCGCAUCCGACCUGAUGGUGAAAGCGGGGGAUCUUCGGACCUCGCGCUAUUUGAUCGGCCGAUGGGAGAUUAGCUAGUUGGUGGGGUAAAGGCCUACCAAGGCGACGAUCUGUAGCUGGUCUGAGAGGACGACCAGCCACACUGGAACUGAGACACGGCCCAGACUCCUACGGGAGGCAGCAGUGGGGAAUUUUGGACAAUGGGCGAAAGCCUGAUCCAGCAAUGCCGCGUGUGUGAUGAAGGCCUUCGGGUUGUAAAGCACUUUUGGCGGGAAAGAAAAGGACUGUGCCAAUACCACGGUUCGAUGACGGUACCCGAAGAAUAAGCACCGGCUAACUACGUG
rnacentral:rRNA from 1 species